rnacentral:rRNA from 1 species
UACGUAGGUCCCGAGCGUUGUCCGGAUUUAUUGGGCGUAAAGCGAGCGCAGGUGGUUUAUUAAGUCUGGUGUAAAAGGCAGUGGCUCAACCAUUGUAUGCAUUGGAAACUGGUAGACUUGAGUGCAGGAGAGGAGAGUGGAGUUCCAUGUGUAGCGGUGAAAUGCGUAGAUAUAUGGAGGAACACCGGUGGCGAAAGCGGCUCUCUGGCCUGCAACUGACACUGAGGCUCGAAAGCGUGGGGAGCAAACAGG